UACGUAGGGGGCAAGCGUUGUCCGGAAUCAUUGGGCGUAAAGAGCGUGUAGGCGGCUCGGUAAGUCCGCUGUAAAAGUCCAGGGCUCAACCCUGGAAAGCCGGUGGAAACUGUCGAGCUAGAGUCCGGAAGAGGCGAGUGGAAUUCCUGGUGUAGCGGUGAAAUGCGCAGAUAUCAGGAGGAACACCAAUGGCGAAGGCAGCUCGCUGGGACGGUACUGACGCUAAGGCGCGAAAGCGUGGGGAGCGAACGAGG
rnacentral:rRNA from 1 species